ACCUCUGUGGUGCAGUGGUAGCACGCGUCCCUCGCAUGGAUGAAACGCGGGUUCGACUCCCGUCUGAGACCGUA